UUGCUUUGGCAGCACAUGUGCUAAAAUUGGAACAAUACAGAGAAGAUGAGCACAGCCCCUGUGCAAGGAUGACAUGCAAAUUCGUGAAGCAUUCUGUAUUUUU
rnacentral:snRNA from 1 species